UACGAAGGGGGCUAGCGUUGCUCGGAAUCACUGGGCGUAAAGGGUGCGUAGGCGGGUCUUUAAGUCAGGGGUGAAAUCCUGGAGCUCAACUCCAGAACUGCCUUUGAUACUGGGUAUCUUGAGUAUGGAAGAGGUGAGUGGAAUUCCGAGUGUAGAGGUGAAAUUCGUAGAUAUUCGGAGGAACACCAGUGGCGAAGGCGGCUCACUGGUCCAUUACUGACGCUGAGGUGCGAAAGCGUGGGGAGCAAACAGG
rnacentral:rRNA from 1 species